AGAGUUUGAUCAUGGCUCAGAUUGAACGCUGGCGGCAGGCCUAACACAUGCAAGUCGAACGGUAACAGGAAGAAGCUUGCUUCUUUGCUGACGAGUGGCGGACGGGUGAGUAAUGUCUGGGAAACUGCCUGAUGGAGGGGGAUAACUACUGGAAACGGUAGCUAAUACCGCAUAACGUCGCAAGACCAAAGAGGGGGACCUUCGGGCCUCUUGCCAUCGGAUGUGCCCAGAUGGGAUUAGCUAGUAGGUGGGGUAACGGCUCACCUAGGCGACGAUCCCUAGCUGGUCUGAGAGGAUGACCAGCCACACUGGAACUGAGACACGGUCCAGACUCCUACGGGAGGCAGCAGUGGGGAAUAUUGCACAAUGGGCGCAAGCCUGAUGCAGCCAUGCCGCGUGUAUGAAGAAGGCCUUCGGGUUGUAAAGUACUUUCAGCGGGGAGGAAGGGAGUAAAGUUAAUACCUUUGCUCAUUGACGUUACCCGCAGAAGAAGCACCGGCUAACUCCGUGCCAGCAGCCGCGGUAAUACGGAGGGUGCAAGCGUUAAUCGGAAUUACUGGGCGUAAAGCGCACGCAGGCGGUUUGUUAAGUCAGAUGUGAAAUCCCCGGGCUCAACCUGGGAACUGCAUCUGAUACUGGCAAGCUUGAGUCUCGUAGAGGGGGGUAGAAUUCCAGGUGUAGCGGUGAAAUGCGUAGAGAUCUGGAGGAAUACCGGUGGCGAAGGCGGCCCCCUGGACGAAGACUGACGCUCAGGUGCGAAAGCGUGGGGAGCAAACAGGAUUAGAUACCCUGUAGUCCACGCCGUAAACGAUGUCGACUUGGAGGUUGUGCCCUUGAGGCGUGGCUUCCGGAGCUAACGCGUUAAGUCGACCGCCUGGGGAGUACGGCCGCAAGGUUAAAACUCAAAUGAAUUGACGGGGGCCCGCACAAGCGGUGGAGCAUGUGGUUUAAUUCGAUGCAACGCGAAGAACCUUACCUGGUCUUGACAUCCACGGAAGUUUUCAGAGAUGAGAAUGUGCCUUCGGGAACCGUGAGACAGGUGCUGCAUGGCUGUCGUCAGCUCGUGUUGUGAAAUGUUGGGUUAAGUCCCGCAACGAGCGCAACCCUUAUCCUUUGUUGCCAGCGGUCCGGCCGGGAACUCAAAGGAGACUGCCAGUGAUAAACUGGAGGAAGGUGGGGAUGACGUCAAGUCAUCAUGGCCCUUACGACCAGGGCUACACACGUGCUACAAUGGCGCAUACAAAGAGAAGCGACCUCGCGAGAGCAAGCGGACCUCAUAAAGUGCGUCGUAGUCCGGAUUGGAGUCUGCAACUCGACUCCAUGAAGUCGGAAUCGCUAGUAAUCGUGGAUCAGAAUGCCACGGUGAAUACGUUCCCGGGCCUUGUACACACCGCCCGUCACACCAUGGGAGUGGGUUGCAAAAGAAGUAGGUAGCUUAACCUUCGGGAGGGCGCUUACCACUUUGUGAUUCAUGACUGGGGUGAAGUCGAAACAAGGUAACCGUAGGGGAACCUGCGGUUG
rnacentral:rRNA from 1 species